CACGUAGUUAGCCGUGGCUUUCUGAUUAGGUACCGUCGAGACGUGCACAGUUACUUACACAUUUGUUCUUCCCUAAUAACAGAGUUUUACGAUCCGAAGACCUUCAUCACUCACGCGGCGUUGCUCCGUCAGGCUUUCACCCAUUGCGGAAGAUUCCCUACUGCUGCCUCCCGUAGGAGUCUGGACCGUGUCUCAGUUCCAGUGUGGCCGAUCACCCUCUCAGGUCGGCUACGUAUCGUUGCCUUGGUAAGCCAUUACCCCACCAACUAGCUAAGUACGGCGCGGGUCCAUCUAUAAGUGAUAGCAAAACCAUCUUUCACUUUAGAACCAUGCGGUUCUAAAUAUUAUCCGGCAUUAGCCCGGUUUCCCGAGUUACUUCCAGUCUUAUAGGUAGGUUACCCACGUGUUACUCUACCCGUCCGACCGCUAACGUCAAAGGAGCAAGCUUCCUUAGUCUGUUCGCUCGACUUUGCAAGUGUAAUUAGGCUAGGCCCGCCAGCCGUUCAUCCUGACGCAGGAUCAAAACU
rnacentral:rRNA from 1 species